AGUUGAAGCAAAACCCUCUCUUGUACCCAAAACUUUUGAAUUAUUUAAUAAAAACAGGUAUAUUUCCAAGGAAAAGCUAUGAAUCAGACAGCUAUGGAAAAUAUAGAAUUAUCAGAUUUACCAGAACAGGUAUUUAUAUUUGUGAUUAUGAAUAACUAAAUUCAUAAAUUCCUGACAAUCAUGAUAUGAUAAAAUAAGUUCAUGUUAGUUACUUUAUAGUAGAAUUAUUCGAAGAAUAACAUGUUAAGAAGUUUACUAGCAAAGAGGUAAAAGGAUAAAAAUCCCUAAGAACUAUGUCAUCCUAAAGGUGAAAUCGGUGAGGCAAGAAAGCCGUGAUAGGGGAGUAGCCAGGGUAGAGGCGUUGUUUAAGGAAAAAGUAUCCAGAUUAGCAUGCUAAUAGUGACCGAAGAACAUGUUAUUUAAGGAUAAUCUAGUAUAUAGUAAUCUAAAAUAAUCAUAUUUUGUUAUGUGUAUGAUUGAAGGGAAUAUUUUGAAAAAAGCAUCAUAUGAAAAAUGAAUACUUAUUUAUUUGAUAAAAUGGUAGAUAAAUUUAAAAUACUUGUUUUAUAUAUACUUAAGGAUAUAGAAAUAGUAGAUAUAAGAAAAAUCAUAUUGGAAAAAAUAUUUGAUAAAUAUUUUAUGACUAGAAUUAAUUAUAUACCACACCUACCUAACUAUUACAAACACCUACAUACCAAACCAAAAUAUCAACCAUGAUAAACUACGUGUAUUUAGAAUAUUGGAAAAUGGAUAUGAAAAAUAUACAAUUAAUAGAAAAACUAAUGAAAACAAAUUUAGAAGAAUAAAUGAGAACUAAAGAUAUAAAAUAUAUAGAAUUCCUUAAUGAAAAUAUAGAGAAAUUAUUAAAAUUAAAACAAACAACUAAUAAAUACUAUGAUAAAGCAUUUAAUUACUAGAAUCUAAUUCCAAGUUAUACAAGUUAUUCGUAAGAAAACCUUAGCAUAAUAUGAAUAAUAUGAGAAGAUAUAUAUCUGAUGAAACUAAGAUACUAGUUUUAUAUAUCAUAAAAGACUUAGAAUUAGAAGACAUAAAGAAAAUAAUAUGAAAAAAAAUAUUUAAUUAUGUAGAUGAGUUACUAAGUACUAAUUGGAUAGAAGAUGAAUUAAGAAAAUAUAGAUUUCUAUGGUAGAAAUAAUUUAGAUAGUUAUUAUUUAGAUGAAUAUUAUACAGAUUAAGAAUGCUAAAAUAUAUUCAAAGAAUUAGAGAAAAAUAAAGUUGGCUAUAUGAAGAAAUUAAUUAUAGAAACAGCUUAGAAGAGGAAGAGAACAAUUAAAAGAAAGAUUAAUUUGGAUAGAUAAAACCAUAAAACAACUAGAAUUAAAAGAUAAUUUAAAAUAUGAUUUAGACAUAGAAUUAUUCAUAGACGAAAAAGAUAGGAUAAUUAACAAAAUAGAUAACCUAGAAUUUAAUAUUAGAUCUAUUACAAUUAGAAUAAAUUAUUACAAAGAAAUUUGCAGUAUCACAACUACUUUAGGAUAAAAUGAUAGACUAUGAGUAUUUAAAAUAUUGGAGACAAGAUAUGGAAGAAAUAAGAUUAACAUAACUACUUAUGAAAGAGAAUUUAAUUAAAUAUUUUAGAACAAAGGAUAUAGAAUAUUUAGAAUACCUUCAAAAUAAUAUACAAGAAUUACAAAUACUAAGAGAACAAAAUUAAAGAAUAUUACAGUACAGCAUUUAAUCAAAUACCAUUCAAUCACCCCCCAAAAUAUGAACAUUAAUAAAAUUAAAAUAAAAAUAAACUCAAAAUAAAAAUGUUUAGAGAAGUUAAGAAAUAUCCACGCACAAAUAAAAAUAACUCCAUUAGAGCUAUAAUAGAUAAAAAUAGCUCCAUUAGAGCUAUAAUAGAUCUAUUUAAGUUAUCCAAGUUUAUCCGCACCCCCUACAUUGGACAGAAAUACUUAUGAAAGAGAAUUUAAUUGAAUAUUUCAGAACAAAGGAUAUAGAAUAUUUAGAAUACCUUCAAAAUAAUAUACAAGAAUUACAAAGACUAAGAGAAAAAAACUAAAGAAUAUUAAAGUAAAGCAUUUAAUCAAAUACCAUUCAAUCACCCCCCAAAAUAUGAACAUUAAUAAAAUUAAAAUAAAUAAACUCAAAAUAAAAAUAUUUAGAGAAGUUAAAAAAUAUCCACGCACAAAUAAAAAUAACUCCAUUAGAGCUAUAAUAGAUCUAUUAAGUUAUCCAAGUUUAUCCGCACCCCUACAUUAUAAUAGAUCUUUUUUAGUCCUAAAAUAUAUGAGACUCCUAAAAUAUAUGGUAGGAGAAUUAAUUAAUAUUAUCCCUUAUACUAUACUUCCUAAAAUAUAUGAGAAUCUUAAAAUAUAUGAUAAGAGAAUUAAUUAAUAUUUUUCUUUCUACCAUUCAAUUAGAAAAAUACUCCUAAAAUAGGAUUCUAUUAAGGAAAUACUUCUUAAAUAUUGAGAUGUCCAUUAAACUAGAAAACAAAUCGGUUUGCCUAUUGGAAGAAUAUGACUGAUGCCCGUCUAACUUGAUUCGAUUGCAUGUCUAGAUUGGUGGAUGCUUGAUUUUCUAAUUCUCAACUUCUUCACUGUCUUUGUCAGCAUAAUAGAAUUCAACAUAUGUGUAUGUAUAUAUCUUUUUUAUUUUCAUGCAAAAUCAUUCUUUAGGGCCAAAAUUUUCGUUCAGGCAAGAAUUAGUUGGAUCAAAAUCUAAGCUUUGCUAUCACUAUUCUAUGUAGCUGUUUGGCCAUGAAAACUAAAAUUUUUCGGAGUUGGAGUUGAAAUUGGAGUUGGAGUUGUGUUUGGUCAUGUCUUUUCUGAAUUUAUUUUUUGACUUUUGAAAAAAAAAAUUUAAACAUGAUUUUAUGCCCUAACUUUUACAAACUAUCAAAAUCACCCAACUAAAAUUUACGUACUAAUGAAAAAAGAACACAAUUAACCACUAUUAUAAAAAUAAUUACAUAUACAUGACCAUAUUUAAUGAAUUUUAAUUAUGACAUAUAUAAUAUUUACAUUAAUAGUCGUUUUCUCAUAUUUGAAAAUUUUAAAUAUGGAUGUUAUAUUAACAGAUCACUGCUUCCUGAUUUUUAGAUAACAAAUAUUAUCUUUCAAACAAAUUUAUUUUUUUAGAAAUUUAUUUAAUUUAUUUCCUUCAUUUUUCGUUCCUAAAAAAUAGGAAAUGAUGAGUUAUUAAAUAGGGUGCCGCUAAUUUAUUUCUUUAAUUUUCUUAUACAUGAAAGAUUUUACUGUGUGUGAAUAAAUUAUUUCUAUGUAAAACAUGCUUUGCAUAUUUAUGGUAUAUUAUAUCAUAUACCAUAAAUAUAUAAAUAUGCUUAGUAUGUUUCUUUAUACUUUGUAUUUUUAUAUAUGUGUGUAUAUGGUAUAUACAUGGUAUAAACUUCAUAUAUAACAUACUUUGUAUAUUUAUAUUAUAAAUAUGCUUAGUAUGUUUCUUUAUACUUUNNNNNNNNNNNNNNNNNNNNNNNNNNNNNNNNNNNNNNNNNNNNNNNNNNNNNNNNNNNNNNNNNNNNNNNNNNNNNNNNNNNNNNNNNNNNNNNNNNNNNNNNNNNNNNNNNNNNNNNNNNNNNNNNNNNNNNNNNNNNNNNNNNNNNNNNNNNNNNNNNNNNNNNNNNNNNNNNNNNNNNNNNNNNNNNNNNNNNNNNNNNNNNNNNNNNNNNNNNNNNNNNNNNNNNNNNNNNNNNNNNNNNNNNNNNNNNNNNNNNNNNNNNNNNNNNNNNNNNNNNNNNNNNNNNNNNNNNNNNNNNNNNNNNNNNNNNNNNNNNNNNNNNNNNNNNNNNNNNNNNUAAUAUUGAAAAAGUAAUGUUAUAAGGAGAGUUUUAUGUAAAAAUUUAAAAGAUUGGGGUUAUAUGUUAUAACAAUAAAAGUUGGAAUUGGAGUUGAAAAAUUGUGAAAACAAUAAAAAUCUGUUUUCUUUUUUCAGAAAAUUUUUUCGGAAUUAUUUUCUGAAUUUUCAUGGCCAAACACCACAAUUUCCAACUCUGAAAUUUUUUUUGGAAAAAAACGAAAAAAUUUCCAUGGCCAAACGGGCCAUAUAUUUUUUAUAGUUUACAAGUCGUAGAUGAAUGUCAGUUGGCCUUGAAGAAUUUCUUGUAUAAAGAUUAAGUUUAAUUGUAUUGUUUUGAUAUCUUUAUUUUCUUAUUGUUUUAUUUUAAUUUGCAGAUGCUAGAUGAAUGUGAGUCGCUUUGGAAAUUUAUUUUAGGUAAAGGUUAAGUUUAAUUGUAUUAUUGUAAUAUUUCUAUUAGUUUGUUAUUUUGAGAUAGUUUACUGUUCGUAGAUGAAUCUCGAUCGGUUUUGAGAAUUUUUUGUGUGUAAAAUUUAAGUUUAAUUAUAAUGUUUUGAUAGCACUUUUAUCGUAUUAUUUGUUACAAUUUACAAGUGAUAGAUAAACGUUGGUCGAUUUUGAGAAAAUUUUUUAUGUAAAGGUUAGGUUUAGUUGUAUUAUUUUGAUAUUUCUAUUAUCGUAUUAUUUUGUUAUUAUUAAUAGGUGAUAUUUAUAUUAUUGUAUUAUUUUGUUAUUAAUAACAGGUGGUAGAUGAGUGUCGGACGACUUUGAAAAAAUUUUUGUGUGUAAAGAUUAGAUUUGAUUGUAUUAUUUUGAUGUCUUUAUCAUUGUAUUGUUUUGUUGCAAUUUACAGAUGACAGAUGAAUGUCGAUUGCCUUUUAAAAAUAUUUUUGGCAAAGAUUAGGUUUAAUAAAUAAAUUCUCCAUAUAUACUCAAAAGAUAUUAAAUUUAAUUAUUAUAUUCAUCUUUAUUAUUUAAGCAAAUAUCUUAUUUAAUGUAAUAUUUGAACUCAUUAAAGUGAGGUAACGCGCAAGACGCGUACACCUAAACUAGUCAAAUAUAUAUAUUUGAGUGUUAGUUAUUUUAAGAGUAAAUACAUAAUUACCUCACUGAUGUUGUUGGAAAUUUUCAAAAAGACACGUAAAUUUUAACUUCGACCUACUACUCCACGAUUCUUCUUUAUUCCAUUUCAAAUACACCAUUUUGGACCUCUGCGUGUAUACACACUCCACAGAUACGUAAAAUGGCUCAAAAUUGACUUUUUUGACCAACAAAAAAUUGUCACGUGUAAAUAAUUAAUAUAUAAUUUAUAUUCUUUUUUUUAAAAGGAAAAAAAUUAAUAUUUAUUUAUUUUUUAAAAUUAUCCGGUACCCCCCUCUCUCCCCCUCCCCCAACCCACCCUUUCUUCUUCAACACCUUCAACACCAUUAAAGCUUCAUUGAAGCUUUUUUUUUUUUUUAAAUAUAAUUAAAACUCCAUUAAAACUCAACAUAAUGUCUUAUUCAACAACAUUAAAGCUCCUUUGAAAUUUUUUUUUAAGAAAAUAUCUUUAAAACUCCAUUAAAGCUCAUUUAACUAUCUUUAAAACUCAAUUCUUUUUUAAAAAAAAAAUCUUUAAAACUUCAUUAAAGCCCCUCCAUUAAAGCUCAUUUAACUAUCUUUAAAACUCAAUUCUAUCAUUUAACUAUCCUUAAAACUCAAUUCAAUCAUAAAACAACUAUUUGAAUUGAUUUGAACAACAAAAAAAAUGAAUAGUAAGAGAGAUUUUGAUGGAGUGGGGGGGUUAGGAGGAGAUGCUCACAAGGUGGGGGUGUUGGACGGAGGGUGGGAAUUAAAUAUAUUUAACACGUGGUAGCACCUGAUUGGUGCGUGUGUUCACUCUUUUUAUUGUGACUGAGAUUUAGCGGAAAAUGGUGUAUUUGAAACGAAUUUAGGUCGAAUUCAAAAUUUAGGUGUCUUUUUGAAAAUCUCAGCCAACAUCAGAGGUAAUUAUGUAUUUACUCUUAUUUUAAUAAAUGGAGUCUCAUACUUGUAUGUUUGAUGAUGACUUCAAUUCAUAUUUAAUUGAAUUAUGUAACGUAUGCGUUCGGUGUUAUGAUGAAAUGAAUAAUUUUUUAAAGCAGAUGUCUUUCAAUGCUUUCCAAUCAGAUAGAAAUAAAUAAGUUGAUAAAUCAACUACAAAAGAUGAAAAAACUGUUAAAGAAGAAGCUAAGCUUAACAUCCACUUUCAAUACCAAAAGAAAUUAGCGAUAAGUACUAUGAGAGAACAAUUGAUUUAAAUGCAAUUGCUUUGGAAAGAGCGCGAUAGUCUUUUUCCUCCUACUAGUGUGCGGUUGUCAACACAUGUAAAGAAUGGAUUUGGGCCUAACUUAACCUCAAAAGCUAGCUCACGAGGGAAGGAUUGUCCAAGUCCAUAUAAGGAGACCAAUUAAUCAUCCGUUUUUCCGACGUGGAAUACUUAGCAAUACUGAACAAAUAUGAAACUUGUACAUUGUUGAUGUUAUUCUGUAGUUUUGUCAUAAAUUUCUCGUUAACUGAGCGCCAAUUUUGAUUUGUAAGAUUUUCAUAUAAUGAAUGAGUUAUGCAUCACCUCAAAUAAUUUGUACAUGUCAAUUAGGAAUGUAUGCAAUGUUCUUAGACACAACUUUUCUAAUAAUGGCGAAGUGAAGUUGAAUGAGCUUAAUGAAUUUUUGAAGGUCAAAUCAAAGAAAAAUGGUGUUCAAAAUUAUUGAACCCUCCCACAUAUAUUAUCAUUGCGCUUGUUGAGAUACUAAUAGUUGAGUCUAUAACUGUUUAAUCACCAAUAUGAUUCACGAUUUGAUUAUAUUUAAGUAUUGUCGAGGAUCGUAAUGUGUCAUUUGUGUAUUCAUGAAGUACUCAUAUGAUCAGUGAAAACUGCAUUUGAUCAUGUUGAUAUAAUCAUAAAAAGUUCAAAGUAUUAUGUUGAGAUUUUUUCAGUUAUACUCUGUGUUUGAUUCUAUGAGCCAUAUCGAUGCCUAAAUUGGGAAACAACAUUAAUGAAACUUUUGUCCCUAGGACGGUGAAGUACAAGAAAAAAGGUACUAGCAUAUUUAAUUCCCUUAACAAGAAUUUUUUGAGUUAGUAUUUUCUUUUGUUGUGCUUUAUUGUUUUUGUUCUAUUAUUUAUGUGUUGAUAGAUAUCUUUUUCUGAUAAAAAUAAUUUUUUAGCAUCAUUGUUAUACUUGACUGAGCCUAUUGAUGAAUAGUGGAAAAAUAUGCUUUUAAAAGCAUUCGAGCAGUGGCGGAUCAGGAUUUAAAAUUUGUGGGUGCUUAAAAAAUUAAAAAGCUAAAAAAAGUAAAAAAAUCACAUUAACAAGGUUUGAACUCGAGACAUCCUUUUAGUGGAGAAGCUUAAGACCAACUUAAAUGCCAAUGCAUCCAACUAACUUUUAUUUCAAUGGGUGCAUUUAUAUGUUUUAUAUCUAUUUUUAUAUAUUUUUAUGUAAUUAUAUCUAUUUCGCAUCGAAUUUACUGGGUGCCGGAGCACCCGAAAUUAUAUGUAGGUCCGCCCCUGCAUUCAAGUCGGCAGAAAAAUUCAAAGUGGAUAAUUUUAUGUUUUGAUGAUUUGUCGGUUAAUAGAAUAUCAUGUGUAAGUUUAUAAUUAUUUUAUUCUGUAACCUUAGCGAAACUUUUGUUUUAAUAUUUUGUGCUUUUCUUUUAUGGAGGGUAGUUAAUAAGCUCAAUUUUUUGAAUAAUGAGAAGUUGAACGCUGAACAUUUUCUCACUGUUCAAGAUGUUAAAAAUGAAAUGAAGGUUAGUUUAAUCUGUUGUUUCUGUGGUGUAAGAUUGAAUGUUAGGUAUUUUUUAUUAAGUUACUUCAUGUUUAAUAUACCAGACAUAAGUAAAAUAUUAAGAGAAAAAAAAACGUACAGUUUGGUGUACUUAAAUUCCUGCUACGUGCAGAGUUUGGGGAAGGGCUCCACCACGAGGAUGUAUUGUACGCAGCUUUACCUUGUAUUUCUACCAGAGGCUGUUUUCUAGGUUUGAACUUGUGACCUCCUGAUUACACGACAAUAACUUUAUCGUUACUCCAAGGCUCCCCUAGGACAUAGACAUAAGAGACGGAAUGUUAAUUAUUUUACCCUUGAAAUUUCGUGAACAUUAUAUUCUCCUUUCAAUGUUGAAGCUCCUAAGAAAUAUGAGGAUGAUAUAGGGUGUUAAUGCCAACAACAACCAUGUUAAACGUACAAGUCCGUUGAUGAAAUAUGGAGAUGUUGAUAGAUCAGGUGGAGUCAUAACUAAAGCUGAUAAUUUGGCAGUUCGAAAUGCCAAGAUUAUCUAUGAUAUUGUUAGUAAGAGACAUGUUGAACAUGUAAAUUCAUUGAUGGACUUUAGAGAUGUUGACAGAUCAAGUGGUGUAUACACGAUUAGAACUAAUGAUGGUGAUAAUCGAUGUGAUGGUCACAAAUUAACCUUAGCAAAAGAUUUGUAGUUGCAAAUGAUAAUAAAUCGAGAAAAGACACAAAUAUAGUUGUAAAUACAGUAGCUGGCACAACUAUAAAUACAAGUAGUCUAUAGAAGUAAUUGUUGUUGUUUUACUUCCUAGGCAGCCUUGCCAUUUCAGCUGGGAAUAGACUAGCGCUAGAUGUUGUUAAUCUGCUUGCAAAAUUUUGAAGCGAAGCUAUUAGUUUUAUACUACCUUUCAUUUCAUAGGAGCAAGAUGUACCUGGUGAUUCACAAAGAGUUGCAAAACGUGAUUCUUCUGUUACAUCAAAGGCAAAUCUAGGAUUUGAAGUCUAUGGAUGCACCAAUAUUGUCAAAGACGCGCAUAAACCUAGAAGUAAGACUCAAAAUGUGUUGAGCACUCGCCUCGCUUAAUGUGCAGCUUAGGUUCUAAUUUCUGAUACAUACUUUCCCUUAUCAAUGAGGCUUUCUGAGAAGACGAACACUAAACAAUUGAUAUUUCACUUUAUCAAAAAAAAUAAUUUUUUUUGUUCAUAUAUUUGUCAUUCAUACUUAUAUUAUUAGUCUUGGACUAAACAUAUAUUUAUAUCUUUUCUACUUUUAUGCCUCUUUUCGUUACAUCUCACGCUUUAUUUGUUCUUUGUGCUUAAACACAAUAGACCUUAAAGCUUUUUACGCUUAUUGCUUUUGAUAAUAUUGUGGAGUACCAAUAUUAUCUUAAAUCGUUAAAAAAACUUUCGGUGUUGAUUAAGGAAUAUUAUCAUAUUCAAUUAGUCGCUAAAUACAUGAACAAUACUGAAAAAAUAAAUAUGUAGAACAAA
rnacentral:lncRNA from 1 species